CACGUAGGCACCAAGCGUUGUCCGGAUUUAUUGGGCGUAAAGAGCUCGUAGGCGGUUCGGUAAGUCGGGUGUGAAAACUUUGGGCUUAACCCAAAGCGUGCAUCCGAUACUGCUGUGACUUGAGUUCGGUAGGGGAGUGGGGAAUUCCUAGUGUAGCGGUGAAAUGCGCAGAUAUUAGGAGGAACACCGGUGGCGAAGGCGGCUCACUGGCCCGGUACUGACGCUGAGGUGCGAAAGCGUGGGGAGCAAACAGG
rnacentral:rRNA from 1 species